GUAGGUGGCAAGCGUUGUCCGGAAUUAUUGGGCGUAAAGCGCGCGCAGGCGGUUCUUUAAGUCUGAUGUGAAAGCCCACGGCUCAACCGAGGAGGGUCAUUGGAAACUGGAGAACUUGAGUACAGAAGAGGAAAGCGGAAUUCCACGUGUAGCGGUGAAAUGCGUAGAGAUGUGGAGGAACACCAGUGGCGAAGGCGGCUUUCUGGUCUGUAACUGACGCUGAGGCGCGAAAGCGUGGGGAGCAAACAGGGAUUAGAUACCCUGGUAGUCCACGCCGUAAACGAUGAGUGCUAAGUGUUAGGGGGUUUCCGCCCCCUUAGUGCUGCAGCUAACGCAUUAAGCACUCCGCCUGGGGAUACGGCCGCAAGGCUG
rnacentral:rRNA from 1 species